rnacentral:lncRNA from 1 species
CCACUUUCACAUAUUAUAAUCUUGUUUCAUUUGAUACAAGGCCUCAUAUUCAAUUGUUAGACAAAAUUAAUGGGUUUAAUGAUAUAAUAAGAUUAUGUAACCAAAAUCCAAAUACUUAAAAAAAAUAUUAAAAAAAUUUCUAUGUAAGUUAAAAACUAAAGAAAAUAACUAAAUAUAAUGGAAGAAUGGAGGGAUGCGAGAUACUUACAAGUUAG